CCGUGACAUAUUCCCAAUCCUC
rnacentral:siRNA from 1 species